GACGAACGCUGGCGGCGUGCUUAACACAUGCAAGUCGAACGAUGAAGCCUAGCUUGCUGGGUGGAUUAGUGGCGAACGGGUGAGUAACACGUGAGUAACCUGCCCUGGACUCUGGGAUAACCCCGAGAAAUCGGAGCUAAUACCGGAUAGGACCUUUCCCCGCCUGGGGCUUGGUGGAAAGUUUUUCGGUUUGGGAUGGACUCGCGGCCUAUCAGCUUGUUGGGGAGGUAAUGGCUCACCAAGUCGUCGACGGGUAGCCGGCCUGAGAGGGUGACCGGCCACACUGGGAGUGAGACACGGCCCAGACUCCUACGGGAGGCAGCAGUGGGGAAUAUUGCACAAUGGGCGCAAGCCUGAUGCAGCAACGCCGCGUGCGGGAUGACGGCCUUCGGGUUGUAAACCGCUUUUAGUAAGGAAGAAGGGGCUUCGGCCUUGACGGUACUUGCAGAAAAAGGACCGGCUAACUACGUGCCAGCCGCCGCUGUAAAAC
rnacentral:rRNA from 1 species